rnacentral:rRNA from 1 species
AAUGAACGCUGGCGGCAUGCCUAACACAUGCAAGUCGAACGAAGGCUUCGGCCUUAGUGGCGCACGGGUGCGUAACGCGUGGGAAUCUGCCCUUGGGUUCGGAAUAACAGCUAGAAAUGACUGCUAAUACCGGAUGAUGUCGUGAGACCAAAGAUUUAUCGCCCAAGGAUGAGCCCGCGUAGGAUUAGCUAGUUGGUGGGGUAAAGGCCCACCAAGGCGACGAUCCUUAGCUGGUCUGAGAGGAUGAUCAGCCACACUGGGACUGAGACACGGCCCAGACUCCUACGGGAGGCAGCAGUGGGGAAUAUUGGACAAUGGGCGAAAGCCUGAUCCAGCAAUGCCGCGUGAGUGAUGAAGGCCUUAGGGUUGUAAAGCUCUUUUACCCGGGAUGAUAAUGACAGUACCGGGAGAAUAAGCUCCGGCUAACUUCGUGCCAGCCGCCGCCGUAACAC